rnacentral:rRNA from 1 species
UACGUAGGGUGCAAGCGUUGUCCGGAAUUAUUGGGCGUAAAGAGUUCGUAGGCGGUUUGUCGCGUCGUUCGUGAAACUUGGGGCUUAACUCCAAGCGUGCGGGCGAUACGGGCAGACUUGAGUACUACAGGGGAGACUGGAAUACUUGGUGUAGCAGUGAAAUGCGUAGAUAUCAAGUGGAACACCAGUGGCGAAGGCGAGUCUCUGGACAUUUCCUGACGCUGAGGCACGAAAGCCAGGGGAGCAAACGGG